rnacentral:rRNA from 1 species
GAUGAACGCUGGCGGCGUGCCUAAUACAUGCAAGUCGAGCGAACGGACGAGAAGCUUGCUUCUCUGAUGUUAGCGGCGGACGGGUGAGUAACACGUGGAUAACCUACCUAUAAGACUGGGAUAACUUCGGGAAACCGGAGCUAAUACCGGAUAAUAUUUUGAACCGCAUGGUUCAAAAGUGAAAGACGGUCUUGCUGUCACUUAUAGAUGGAUCCGCGCUGCAUUAGCUAGUUGGUAAGGUAACGGCUUACCAAGGCAACGAUGCAUAGCCGACCUGAGAGGGUGAUCGGCAACACUGGAACUGAGACACGGUCCAGACCCAGACGGGAGGCAGGAGUAGGGAAUCUUCCGCAAUGGGCGAAAGCCUGACGGAGCAACGCCGCGUGAGUGAUGAAGGUCUUCGGAUCGUAAAACUCUGUUUUAGGGAAGAACAUAUGUGUAAGUAACUGUGCACAUCUUGACGGUACCUAAUCAGAAAGCCACGGCUAACUACGUG